UCAUCAUCACCAUCAUCAUCAUCACCAUCAUCAUCACCAUCAUCACCAUCAUCCCAGUGUAAGGAAUGGAUGAGGUUCUCCGAGCCUGGCUUGGCCCCUACCCCUCUCUGCGACGGGUUCCCUCCGGUGGACUCGCAAUGCUCAGGAACAGCUGUCAGUGUACCUGACCAUGCCCCUUUCUGGAAAGCACUGCUGUGGCCGUGAGGAAAAAAACAGCGCCCAGAUACAACUCAGACCAAAGAGGGGGAAGGCACUGAGUCAGAGCCUCGUCACGGAGCCGCAGGGAAGACUGGUUACCCUUGCUGGGAAGCGUCUCAGGAGGGCCGGCGAGGUGCACCUGUGCAGGGGAAGGUGCGGGUUCCCUUGGCAUGUGUGAACCUGGGCUGCCUGAGGAAUUGCUGGGGUUUUGUUCAUUCUUCUGACCAGCUGCUCCUCUCAGAUCUGUUGCUGUUGGAAAUACCAUAGACGUCAAACGUUGGAUUUUAUCUUGACAUGAACGCCCAGAGGAGCACAAUUGGCUAAAGCUUUUCUUGAAGAAAAAAAUGGCACUUACUUAGCGAGGACCAAUGAGUAGAAAUGAACGGGGAAACCAAAGAUUGAUGCCACUGAUAGACUCUCGCUUAGUUGUACUUUUUAUGACUUAUUUAUAGAUGUCAAACAGGAUAUGGCACAGGGGAGGUGUUCAGUAAAUACUCCCCAAUUGAUUAAAACCCUGAGAUAUAUUUGAACAUCUUUAAGGAAAUAGGUAUACUUUAAAAAAAUGGCAGUUAAUUUUUAAUUGGUAACAAAAAUGGUACCAGAUGGAAACUUGUUGAUUUGGACCCAGAGUCUGGCUGUUGGAAAAUAGCUCUCCACUGGGUGUGGUGCGUAAACAAUGAAUCUUGGAACACUGAAAAAAUACAAUAAAAUAAAAAAAUAGC